CUUCUCUCCAUUGGAAAUAUGUACGUAAUAUAUUCAUACAAAAUACGUAUUAACUCUUUAUGUUAAUACGUAAGGCUUCCAGGACUUCCCUGAUGCCACAGUGGAUAAGAACCCACCUGCCAGUGCAGGGGACACAGGCUUGAUCCCUGGUCCAGGAAGAUUCCACAGGCUGCAGGGCAACUAAGCCCGUGGGUCACAGCUACUGAAGCCCACGAGUCCUGGGGCCCAGGCUCUGCAACAGAGAAACCACUGCAACGGGAGGCUCGCACACGGCAACUAGAGAAAGCUCAAGCAGCAGCGAAGACCCAGUGCAGCCAUACAUAAAUGAGACUUCAGGGCAACGGUAGGUAGGAGUCAUUAACUCGAGAAAAUCAAAAGUUAUCCAUGGAUUUUCCACUGCAUGGGCGGCUGACACCUCUAAUCCCCAGGUUGUUCAAGGAUCAGCUGUGCCUCGUUUUCAACAAAUGCUGUGCCCUGUGUAUCCCCUCAUGAGAACCACGAUAACACUGCAAUUUGAGGACAAUGGAGGCUUGCUUUUGUCAUGAAGUUGAUAAUCUUGAGUAAUCCCAUCGUUUUUUUAAGGUUCAGCAAAGUAAUAAACACCCCUGAUUUUGUUGCUCCUCUAAGGAAAGGAAGUUUGCAGGACACAGUGGAAAAGUCAGUAUCAUUCGGUUUAAAUAUGUCAAGACAAGCUAAAAUCAGGGUGGACGUUCUGUUGAUUUAAGUGAUCAGUGACAUUCUCCUGGAUCAGUUGAGAUGGUGGGAAACCAGUUCUUCGGACAUUUCUUCAAGAAAUGAGUGAACUUCACUGCUCCCGUGUAUACACCCUGGAUAUGAGUCACGGGAUUGCUCCUGGGUGGAGCUGCAGGCAAAGGUUUCACUCUGAAUAAAAGAGGAACCAAGCCAUUUUCCGCUGGUGAAUCACAUGAUGGGAGGAAUUGCCAAAAAUCAGUUUUGACUUAAUAACAUCUUCCUCAUCGUAUACUCGUGCCUAGAUCAUAGGAGGAGCCAAUGCAGGACAGCCAGCCAGAUGCCCCACACAUAAUACUGCUUAUGGUGACAGAAACUGAUUCACAAGCGUCCCACGUUAGUUAAAUAGCAGCUUGAAAAAGGAAUAGGUUGUUUGUGAGGUUGGAUGAUGAGUGAUGUCAAAGAAGAAAGGGCCAAGAAGUUGCACAUCCAGCUGGCAGCCUGAAGCCUACUGGACGCCUUCUGUAAAAUCUAAAUUUCCAGCAAACUGCUACACGGGUUUCUGAGCCCACAUUCCCCUAAAACACAAAGAAGGUGGGUGGAAAUACGGGGCGUGUCCUCGGGGGCUUUCGUCUUGCCCGAAACACUUUAAUCAGGAUGCAGCUCAGAAGGUCAGGAGGCUUCUGUCUCCAGCCACGUCUUCCGGGGUCCACGCCGUCUCUGCUCAGUGCCUGUGUGGAUACCAUCUGAUGCCUGUGUGCCCAGAGCUGCUGCUGCCAGCGGGAUCCUGUGCGGGGGGAGCGUUUCUUCACAUCCAGCCACGCCCCUUGCAGGGCAGCUUCGGGUGCCAGCCAGGAAAACCAAACACUCAGGGUCCACACUGCACACUCUGAAGCCCACGGUUUAGCCAGAGCCGGACGUCUGCUUGAUUCUUACCUGGCACUGUCCCUCAGCUUUCCGUUUGAAAACUGCUGUUGUAGUUCACUUGGUGGGCAGGGUCAUUCCUGUGCAUCCAGGCUUUGGAUUCCAGGUCACUCACUGUAAAGACAAGCUAAAACCAGGGUAGAGGUUCUGUUGAUUUAAGUGAUCAGUGAUGGAAACACAGUCUGAAAACAGUCUCAGUAGAGAAAUAAAUCUUUCCUAAAGGAGACAGUGCCAUUACUAGAUAUUUUUGACAAAUAGGAGUUGUGUUUUCUUAGUUUUUAACAUUUUUGAUUAACCCAUGAGAUAUCAGUCCUUUUGUCAUAGGAGUGGAAUGGGUGAGUUUACUAAGACUUGGCAAGACAGAAAAUUGUGGUGAAUUUGGAAGCAAAUUCCUAAUAAUUAGAGGAAAAAAUCAAAAGACCUAGCCAAGGCAUAUUUCUUGGGGUUCGGGGGGAGCGGUUGUCACAUACUUGUAAUUCAUCAGUUCAGAAGACCAAAU
rnacentral:lncRNA from 1 species